CACUCGCUCUCUCUCCCCGAACGAACUCCCGACGAACUCUCUGUGCCCUAACUUUUCCGACCGGCGAACCACCGCUAGCAACCGACAAACCAGAGUAUACCGGCGAGACGACCACGAGCGACCGACCGGCGUGCGACCUUCCUCUCUGCCCUCCCUCUUUCCGGCUGGCGAACCACUGCGAGCAACCGACGAACGAGGAGGAUACCGGCGAGACGACCGCGAGCAACCGACCGGCGUGCAACCUCCCUCUCUCUGCCCUCCCUCGCUUUUUCCGACCGGCGAACCACCGCGCCACCCCUCCGGCUCCGGAUCUGGCCCCGACUCGUCCGUCCCCUGCUCUUCGCUGUCUGCCCUCCUUCUCUUCGCGGCGGACCACCGCGUGACCAGCGAACCACCGCGCCCCCCCCUCCAGCUCUAGAUCCGACACCGGCUUGUCUUGUACGCUGGAACUUGGUGCCCGACCGCCUCACACCCGCCGGCCUGUUGAUCUCCAGUUCCGCUUGCAUCACGAUCCCGCUCUUCUCUGUCUGCCCUCCCUCUCUUCGCGGUGAACCACCGCGUGACCGGCGAACUACCGCGCCCCCCCUCCAGCUCCAGAUCCGACACCGGCUUGUCUUGUACGCUGGAACGUUGGUGCCCGACCACCUCACACCCGCCGGCCUGUUGAUCUCCAGUUCCGCUCGCAUCACGAUCCCGCCAGUGCUUUGGUUCAGGUAAAAGUCUCAGGUAAAAGUCACAGGGGAAGGAAUCAGUGACAUAUCAGAUUGCGAGCUGAAGGGAGAGAGGGAGCUCGAAGGGCAGCUUUGCCGUCGCCAGUCGUCCGCCCGAGAGCCGCCGUCCACCGUAGCGCUCCCGUCCGAACCAGUGGAGUUGGCUGAAGGCAGGAAUAUGGACAUAGAGCUACAGUACAGCGUGCAUUGGAUGGUCCUGGCACGUUUCUUGUGAGACCUCAAAGUUUCCUAGAGAGGUCCCGUCACUCCAAUGGUACAGGGGCACAUUUCAACAGAUGGUCCUGGCAGGUUUCUUGCCUUUUUGUACAUCUACAUGCAGCUGCAUUACAUGUUAAUGAGCAUGUGGGCUAGCUGCCGAAGAUCAUCGAUGGUGGUGGAGCUACAUCUCUCUCUCUGACAUGUUGAUGUACUUUCGAUCAAGGUCACAAAUGAAGCUCAAGCGGAAAAUGUCCUAUUUGGAGAUGUUGGUGCAAUCCCAGCGCUUGCAGCUUGUGCAUCCAUAACUCUUUCUUCCACUGUUUCUCCCGGAUUCAUGACUCAGCUGGAGCGAUGAUUGCAAAGUGAAGGAAAAGAUCUAAAAUUGGUGGACGCCCCUGUUUCUGGUCAUGUUAAAAGAGCUGCUGAGGGAAGUCGAUGACUUCUCAUAUGGAUGUGGACAGGCCCCUGUUUCUGGUCAUGUUAAAAGAGCUGCUGAGGGAAGUCGAUGACUUCUCAUAUGGAUGUGGACAGGCCCCUGUUUCUGGUCAUGUUAAAAGAGCUGCUGAGGGAAGUCGAUGACUUCUCAUAUGGAUGUGGACAGGCUUUAAAGAGUUACGGACUUGAUGCCAAAGGUUUUUUCAAUGCUACCGGGGUUCAGUUCAGAAUUGAUGCCAAAGGGUCAAGAGAAAGAAAGCCAGGCAAAGAUCAAAAGAUACAUGACCAUGAUGGACUCAAUGACAAAUGAAGGCAAGUCAUGCAAGUUAGACAGUUCAA